rnacentral:lncRNA from 1 species
UACGAAUAAUGUUUUAUGAAAGUGCAUAGAUUGUCCUUUUAACAUAUAUAACUAAAGGACCUGAGGGAAUCAUAUCUAUACUGAUAUUUGAGAUUGGCAUGUCAAUACUGUGCAGCCUUUGCCUCCUCACCUACCCUAUAUCGUGUGCAUCAUUUUUUUGCCUAUUUGUUAUUUAUAUAAAUAAGCAUUGUCUUUCUCAGUUGUCAUUAUAAGUGGCACCACUUGUUUGUGUCAGUAUUCUUUGUUUUGGCCCUUUUGAAGGAUAUAUUGGUAAUUGCAAUAAUUUUUGUUAAAGCAAUUCCUUGUUUCUCCAAUGUAUGUGCUUCUGCAGCUAAUAUAGGGCUAGCUUUAUCUGAUAAAGUGGUUUCCAUAUUCUCAUCGUCAUUUCAUGUAAUCUGUCCUUGGUGAAGAAAAUCUUGUGGGUGUUUAUUGGUUCUUCACUAUGCUAUUAAGUAAUGAUUAAAUAACUUUUUGCUUCUGUUUUGCUUAUCUUGAUGCCUACAUUUUUCUUGGUCACAGACAUGAAUGCUUUAUUCAACAGAUUGUGUGUGAACCAUGCGGGAAAGGUAUGCCACCAAACUAAACAUCUGU